rnacentral:lncRNA from 1 species
AGAUCUGGCUAUUCACUUACUCUAACCCUUUCCAGAAGAGGAAGUCUGUUCAUUUUUCUCAAUAACAAUGUUCAUGUGUUUUGACAUUCAACUUUCUAUAUAAUGUAUAUGAUAUUGAACCUUUACGAGACCACAUUUUCUAUUUAUCCUUACCUGUUUUCCAAGCCUAAUAUGCCAUUACAAGAACCAAAAAUCAUAGCAGAAUCAAUGUAAGCAUGAGAGACACAUAGGUAUAAUGAUUAACCAAAACAAGCAGGAAAAAAAUUGCAACCACUAUCAAGUUGACAUGUGCAUAAUGACAACCAUCUUUUCAUUGGAUUCUUUUCCUGAUUGAGAAUAUGUCGGAAGUAAUAAUUUUUUUCAUGUUAGGCAUAAAAUAUAAUUGAUUAAAAGAAUUUUUUCCUAAAAAAAAAAUGACAAUUUGCAUAACAUGUUUUUGCACCCAAUACUUUUGAAUGGGUGAUUUUUCUUAGAAAAAUCUUUCACUGGUCCUGAACUUCUUGAAGCUUUUGAAGAGAUCUUUGGAGCAAGA